rnacentral:lncRNA from 1 species
CAACUCAUCAGCUCAUUAGUACAAACUCCAAAACCUCAGAUUGGUUUGUCAGAGAGACAAAAAAGGUGCAGUAUUGGGGGUACUCCCGGACUAGGGUUGGAAACCGCAUAACUGGAUUAUUAACUUUUUCUCUAUCACAGCUACAGUGCAUGUCACAAUAUCUGAAGGCCAGGGUGUGCAGGCGGUGGGACAAACUGCAGGAAUAUUUAAAUUCCGCCGACAGCUACAGUAUCUGCGACGCAAAAGGGCUGGCGAUUGCGGAUACAACAGAGACCAAAGAUUUGGAAUUUUGGAAAACAUCGAGCUGGAAGGUAUACGCCAUCAGAACUGUAGACCUGGCCAAGCUCAAGACGGGAAGACUUGAAAGUGCUUCCAAAAAGAAAAGGGUGCACUCUGAAGAAAAUGAAGUUCUAGAUGGCCUGCUCGACGUUGAGCUUGAGAUAAAAAACUCUGCAUCAAGGCUAGCUGAAAACAUGGAUGAAAAAUUUAGCGAGCCAACCAUUUCAGUCGCCCACAUUAAGGCGAAUGUCCUACAGGUAGUGCAACAGAUUGAAGUGUUAGCGGAGAUGAAGGAGAAAAUUUCUGAAGUGUCAAGGUCACUAUCCGUUGCGUCCUCUCUGCGAGAUGCGGUAGCAUGCAAGAUGUGCACAAACAUGCCCAAUUCUGUGCUUGUUAUAACUGCAUGUUGUGGGCAGGUGGCAGGGUGUGGCCCCUGCAUCCAGACGCAUCUAAACGACAACGACAGCUGCCUUUUGUGUAAAGCAAAUAUGUUCGCAGGCAAACUGGUGUUUUUAAGAGGCCUGAGUGAGGUGCUAGCAAAACUGACGAAUGAAGCGACUUAAAUGGGGUCUGGCUGACCGUGUUUGGCUCAGAAGUUAAGAAAUAAUAUUGUUUUACAUAUUUUUAUAUGCAUUUGUUGUAUACCUUGCUUUGUUGUAUUUUGUUUAGAAUCUUGGGCACGGUGUUCAGGGGUUAGUACGGCAUCUGGCCGAGUAAUUUUUGUUUUUCUGUAUCACAUUUUUGUAUGUGUACUGUGUAGGGGUGUAAAUUCAUAACAGCCAGCUAAGUUUAUUUGUGUAGUCCAGUGCCACAUACAGUAUCUUAAUGGGCAUUACUGUUCCACAGCAGUUUAUGUUCCUGUUCCUGAAUAGGCCAUUUAAGAGAGACCCCCCAUUUUCUUCUAUACACUGUUGUUAUAUGAACCACAGCACAUUUUGGCUCUCCUAGCAGAAUAUGCUUGUCUAGGGUAAUUUCACUGUUAAAAACACCAUUCAUAGCACUGAUAGUGAUACAAGGUUUGUUGUAUAUCUUGUGGGGUAUUAUGAGAAACUAAAUUCUGAAUUUAACAAAUGUUAUAAAUGUUUUUAUUAUGGUAAUUAGCAAAUGUUAAAAUAAACCAGUUAAGCUUGCAAAUGGACUUAUGUCAUUAAUGCCAGUUACGUGUGACACUGACCCCACACUAAGUUCACGAUAGUCAUAGUGCAUAGCUGAUAAAUAUAGUGUUAUGUUAUGAGUGACUGUACCAAACAUAAAUCAUGUUAAUUAAUGCAAAUAAUGUAGUGUCCUUGUACUUUAGCAUGAAACCAUUCCAUGCUGCAGUUCAGGAGUGAGAGAAGACUGACAGAACAGACAAUAAAUAAUACACAAAUCCCAAAGAUUUUGAUAAUGACA